rnacentral:lncRNA from 1 species
GCCGGGUGAGGAGGUCGUGGAGGGCGUUGUUGAGGGCGGUGCUGAGCGAUGAGGGCGGGGCCACCACGGAGAGCCGGGGGCGGAGCGGUGGGACCACGGAGGAGAGCGAUGGGACGGUGGUGUGAGGGUGGUGGGGGUGGUUGUUGUGGGGGUCUUUGUCAUCGUUGUGGGCGUGGUUGUCUUCGGUAUCUUCAUCAUCGUCAUUGUCAUCAUCGUCAUCAUUGUCAUCGUCAUUGUCGUCAUGGUCAUGGUCACCAUCAUCAUCAUCAUCAUGGACAUCUUCAUGGUCAUCAUCAUCAUCAUCAUUGUCAUUGUCAUCAUGGUCGUGGUCAUCAUCAUCAUUGUCAUCAUCAUCAUCAUCAUCAUCAUCAUUGUCAUUGUCAUCUUCAUCAUCAUCAUCAUCAUUGUCAUGGUCAUAUGGCCAUGGUCAUCAUCAUCAUCAUCAUCAUCAUCAUGGGUGUGGUCAUCAUCUUCAUCAUGAUCAUCAUCACCAUCAUCAUCAUUGUCAUCAUGGUCAUCUUCAUCAUCAUCAUGGUCAUCAUCACCAUCAUCAUUGUCAUCUUCAUCAUCGUCACCAUCAUUGUCAUCGUCAUCAUCAUCGCCAUUGUCAUAUGGUCAUGGUCAUCUUCAUCAUCAUCAUCAUGGUCAUCAUCAUCACCAUCGUCAUUGUCAUCAUGGUCAUCAUCAUCAUCAUCGUCAUGGUCAUAUGGCCAUGGUCAUCUUCAUCAUCAUCACCAUCAUUGUAAAUGGCAUCAUGGUCAUGGACAUCAUCAUCAUUGUCAUCAUCAUCAUCAUCAUCAUUGUCAUUGUCAUCUUCAUCAUCAUCAUUGUCAUGGUCAUAUGGCCAUGGUCAUCAUCAUCAUCAUCAUCAUCAUCAUGGGUGUGGUCAUCAUCUUCAUCAUGAUCAUCAUCACCAUCAUCAUCAUUGUCAUCAUGGUCAUCUUCAUCAUCAUGGUCAUCUUCAUCAUCAUCAUGGUCACCAUCACCAUCAUCAUUGUCAUCUUCAUCAUCAUCACCAUCAUUGUCAUGGUCAUAUGGCCAUGGUCAUCAUCACCAUCAUCAUCAUUGUCAUCAUGGUCAUCUUCAUCAUCAUCAUGGUCAUCAUCACCAUCAUCAUUGUCAUCUUCAUCAUCGUCACCAUCAUUGUCAUCGUCAUCAUCAUCGCCAUUGUCAUAUGGUCAUGGUCAUCUUCGUCAUCAUCAUCAUGGUCACCUUCAUCACCAUCAUCAUCAUCAUCAUCAUCAUGGGUGUGGUCAUCAUCUUCAUCGUGAUCAUGGUCACCAUCAUCAUCAUUGUCAUCAUGGUCAUCUUCAUCAUCAUUGUCAUCUUCAUCAUCAUCACCAUCAUUGUCAUCGUCAUCAUCAUCGCCGUUGUCAUAUGGUCAUGGUCAUCUUCAUCAUCAUCAUCAUUUUGGGUCCAUUUUGGGGCCAUUUGGGCACUUUUGGGCCAUUUUGGGCAAUUUUGGGACAUUUUGAGGCAUUUUGGGACAUUUUGGGGUCAUUUUGGGGCAUUUUGGAACAUUUUGGGCCAUUUAUGGCAAUUUUGGGGACAUUUUGGGGUCUUUUGGAGACAUUUUGGGACAUUUUGGGGUCAUUUUGGGACAUUUUGGAACAUUUUGGGCCAUUUAUGGCAAUUUUGGGGACAUUUUGGGGUCUUUUGGGGACAUUUUGGGUCAUUUUGGGGUCAUUUUGGGCCAUUUUGGAACAUUUUGGGACAUUUAUGGCAAUUUUGGGGCCAUUUUGGGACAUUUUGGGGUCAUUUUGGGGCAUUUUGGGGUCAUUUUGGGCCAUUUUAGGAGCAUUUUGGGGACGGGGCAUGUGCAGCGCUGGGACUGGAAUUUCUGAGCUCCAGAAAUUCAGGAAUUCAUCAACUCAGAAAUCGCAGGAUCCAAAAAAAUCUGGAAUUUCCACCCAACCUAAACCCCAAAAAUCCAAGAGAUUUUUAUUUUUUUAUAUUUUUUUUUAGGGAUAAAAAAAAAAAAAACCCCCGAGGAAUUUUCCCAAAUCACCCUCAACUCACCCCAAAAAAAAAUCCCAAAAAAUAAAAAUUCCCGCCUUAAUCCA